rnacentral:rRNA from 1 species
UAGGGAAUUUUCGUCAAUGGGCGCAAGCCUGAACGAGCGAGUGCCGCGUGAGUGAAGGAAGGCCUUCGGGUCGUAAAGCUCUGUUGCGGGGGAAAAAGGCAGCAUCAGGAAAUGGGUGCUGACUGAUGGUGCCCCGCCAGAAAGUCACGGCUAACUACGUGCC